CAGCAGCCGCGGUAAUACGUAGGUGGCAAGCGUUAUCCGGAAUUAUUGGGCGUAAAGCGCGCGUAGGCGGUUUUUUAAGUCUGACGUGAAAGCCCACGGCUCAACCGUGGAGGGUCAUUGGAAACUGGAAAACUUGAGUGCAGAAGAGGAAAGUGGAAUUCCAUGUGUAGCGGUGAAAUGCGCAGAGAUAUGGAGGAACACCAGUGGCGAAGGCGACUUUCUGGUCUGUAACUGACGCUGAUGUGCGAAAGCGUGGGGAUCAAACAGGAUUAGAGACCCCUGUAGUCCCUGUCUCUUAUAC
rnacentral:rRNA from 1 species